rnacentral:rRNA from 1 species
GAUGAACGCUGGCGGCGUGCCUAAUACAUGCAAGUCGAGCGAACGGACGAGAAGCUUGCUUCUCUGAUGUUAGCGGCGGACGGGUGAGUAACACGUGGAUAACCUACCUAUAAGACUGGGAUAACUUCGGGAAACCGGAGCUAAUACCGGAUAAUAUUUUGAACCGCAUGGUUCAAAAGUGAAAGACGGUCUUGCUGUCACUUAUAGAUGGAUCCGCGCUGCAUUAGCUAGUUGGUAAGGUAACGGCUUACCAAGGCAACGAUGCAUAGCCGACCUGUGAGGGUGAUCGGCCACACUGGAACUGAGACACGGUCCAGACUCCUACGGGAGACAGCAGUAGGGAAUCUUCCGCAAUGGGCGAAAGCCUGACGGAGCAACGCCGCGUGAGUGAUGAAGGUCUUCGGAUCGUAAAACUCUGUUAUUAGGGAAGAACAUAUGUGUAAGUAACUGUGCACAUCUUGACGGUACCUAAUCAGAAAGCCACGGCUAACUACGUG